rnacentral:rRNA from 1 species
UUUCCCCUACGGGACGCAGCAGUGGGGAAUAUUGCACAAUGGGGGGAACCCUGAUGCAGCGACGCCGCGUGGGUGAAGAAGUAUUUCGGUAUGUAAAGCCCUAUCAGCAGGGAAGAAGAAUGACGGUACCUGACUAAGAAGCACCGGCUAAAUACGUGCCAGCAGCCGCGGCAAUACGUAUGGUGCAAGCGUUAUCCGGAUUUACUGGGUGUAAAGGGAGCGCAGGCGGGGCGGGAAGGCUGAUGUGAAAGCCCGGGGCCCAACCCCGGUACUGCAUUGGAAACUGCCGUACUU